ensembl:lncRNA MIR4435-2HG MIR4435-2 host gene
CAGACAGAGCCUUCCUAAAAGCUGAAACACACGCACAGAAUGAGAAGUCCCUGCGGGAGCAAGCUCACUGUGGCUCUGCCGACUUCCAGUUCUGGAACAAGAUGGUUAAACUCAUUUUUCCCUGCUCUGCUCCUCUAAAUACAACUAAGUACCUUGGAAACUAUUCAGCAGACAAUGAUAAAGGGCUCUGAAAGCUAGAAGAAAAGGUGUACUUGCAAGAAACCUCAGGACUUGAGUAACAGCAACAUGGAGCCACACCGGUGAGGGCAGGGAGAGGGUGCUGGUUCUGAGCCAACUUUGCAUGGAAGGCCCAGCAGACCACGCUCAUUACUUACAGCCAGCAUCAUCGGGGAACUCCGGCACAGACCUGUAGUCAGUGCCCCACAGCGCCCCAGCCUUCUCUCCCGACAGGAGCGGCCAGGACAGGGAGCAGAAGGUGACUGCUGUGCUGCCUGGAGCUCUUCUGUCCGGAGGUUUAGUGAAACUAGAGAAACUCAGUGGACACACUACAAGACUUCAGAGAUACUUUUUGUAAACCCAGGAAGAAUCAAAGAUAUGAAACAUGCAGUAGGCACUCACUAAAUGUUAAUUUUCUUCCUUUUUAAAUAUUUGCAUUAUGAUAGUUAAAUUAAUGACUGCACGACUGGAAGAAUACACACUCUAAUGAUUCUUUUCCCUAAAAUAAAUGUGUCCACUAUUUGCUGUCUA